rnacentral:rRNA from 1 species
GACGAACGCUGGCGGCGUGCUUAACACAUGCAAGUCGAACGGAAAGGCCCUGCUUUUGUGGGGUGCUCGAGUGGCGAACGGGUGAGUAACACGUGAGUAACCUGCCCUUGACUUUGGGAUAACUUCAGGAAACUGGGGCUAAUACCGGAUAGGAGCUCCUGCUGCAUGGUGGGGGUUGGAAAGUUUCGGCGGUUGGGGAUGGACUCGCGGCUUAUCAGCUUGUUGGUGGGGUAGUGGCUUACCAAGGCUUUGACGGGUAGCCGGCCUGAGAGGGUGACCGGCCACAGUGGGACUGAGGUACGGCCCAGACUCCUACGGGAGGAAGCGGUGGGGAAUAUUGCACAGUGGGAGGAAGCCUGAUGCAGCAACGCCGCGUGCGGGAUGACGGCCUUCGGGUUGUAAACCGCUUUAGCCUGUGACGAAGCGUGAGUGACGGUAAUGGGUAAAGAAGCACCGGCUAACUACGUG